GCUUCAGAAAGAGCGAGCAAAGUCUUCGUGGGUGACCUUGAUCUGUGUAAGGAGAACAUGGGGUGACUCUGUGCUUGCUGUUCUGCCCAAUUUAACUGCAAGCACCUCAGCAAGCUGUUAAAAUGUCUUCCAAUUAAACUACACAGAAAACAGAAACCUGUCCCCUUGUUAGUAUACUUGAGCCAGUCAGUGCGAAUCCAGAUGUAAAACUGCAGAAUGAAAUGUUUCGUCGCUGUUUGUAAGUCAGGGUUUCCAAGUUCUACACUCACAUUUACCUAAUUAGUCACGUGACCUCUAGCACUCACUCUGUGGAGCUAUGAAAUGAUAGGUGAGGUCUGAUCGUCUCUAAGUUUUCAUUCCAGCUUUAAAACUUGUAUGUUGCUCUGAGUAUCUGUUCCACAGAAGCUGAAUGCAUUAUUGAAUUCUGGAUGUCAGUGGUGAUUCUUCAGGAUGCCAGAAGAUCAAACACAACCACAGAGAAAAUAAGUUGCCUGGCUGCACAAAAGCAUUCACCUGGAAAAUAUCACCUAUUUUCAUCCUUGAAAAAUGACAAGAGCGAUGACAUGCACCGAUGGUCUGAAUUUCCUCAUGGCAGGUCGGUCAUAAAGCAGCAGCCAGGAAGCAAUGUAGAAGAUUGAUUCUUUCUGGAAUGACCCAUCCUUUCUUGACCAGGGCAUCUAGGUCACCUUGUCACCUGUGUGUGUCACCUGCAUGUGUCACUUGUUUCUAAGUUCUCUUUCCUGAGUAUACAAUUAGGGUCACAACCCCAGUCUCACCAGUCAGGCGUCUUACCUAAGUGAUCUAGGACACCUUGGGUAUCCCAGUUUUCUCCAGGUAAGCGCACAUAAUCAAGAAUCACACCCAUCUCACGGUUGAUGGUGCUACCCUCAGCCCUGCGUGAGCCAAGAAGGCUCCACUGUCUCUCCCUCAGGAGCCUUGCUGAUCUGCAAGGACACAGGGCAGGGGCAAGCCCUGAAGCCCCCAAAGCUGUAAAAACUCGGAUUAGUCAAAUGCCCUGUGUGUCCCAGUCCUUAUGCACUGGGACAUGGAGGAUGCUAGACAGAGGCAGCGCAGGUGGAGACCUCUCCCUGCAGUUCUACGAGAUACUCUGUUCCGGGGCCCUACAUUGAUUUCCUUGAGUCCAAAGAAACAGCCCUUGAGUGACCCUUGCUCCUCCCAUUGUCAUAGCAUUUCUGUCUAGGUCAUGGGCACAUGCAACAUGAUGCCACUCUCACCUCCCAGCUCAUUGUUGCCGUGGCUCUGUCAUAAAUAACCCAAGCUUCUCCCUGUGUCACCCCACUAUCUUAGCUCUAAGUAUUAUAGAUACCUACAGGGACCUCCUGCCUUCCACCUGCACUCCAGGAAGUACAAACAAGGGCCUGUGGAGUGGGGUUCUUCCAGCUGGAUCAGCAGCCCUUACGGAAUUUUCUAAGAGUCUGUGCUCCCUCCUGCUCACAUCUCAUUGGCCGGCACUCGGGCACACAGCCACAUCCAGCUGCAGAGAAGCUGGGAGUUUUGCGACCAAGAAAGGGAAGGCAAGAAAGGAUUUUUGGUGCAUAACUUACAACCUCUGUCCCAUAGGUCAAAAAUUAAAAUGUUUCAGAGGUUAUCAGAAUCAGAGGGUAUUUCACAUAAAGUGCCAUCUAUCAAACCAUGUGACUCAUGCCAGAAAAUGCCUGAGAGUCGUGAAUCUAAAGUUUAGUUGGGAGAACCUUCUUAGAAAAUGAAAUGACUUGGCUUACAGUCACAUAGGUGUCUUUGACCUUGGGAAACUCAUUUAAACUUCCUGUUUAUACACUGCAUGUCUCCCAGGUGGAUAUCGAAUCCAGACAGGGCUGGUGAUGUGAGUUGGGACUUCAGUGAAUGGAAAGGGAGGGAGCUUCUCUGUCUUCAUCCGAGGUGAGCAUCAGCAUCUUCGCUGGUCAGUCAGUAACUGAAGAACUAGCAGCUUUCUCUAAAUGCCUUCUUCACAAAGACCUGUUUUGGUUGUAAUGGCUCCUUUGAGAGCUUACAGGACUUCAGGGUGUAAGCUGGGAAAGGCUGCUAAGCAGCACGAAUAACAAACACAGCAGGGGGCAACCAAAUAGAGACCGCAGAGGACAGAGUGGAGAGAGCAGGCUGGACCACAGGCCUGGUUUUCACUCCCCAUGACUGUUUACUGAGAGGCUAGAUGAGUGGAUUAUAAAGUGGGAGACAAGUAACAGAAGAAAGAGGCGGAAGGGGUCCAUCUGCUUAGAAUAUAUCAGCCAGGGACAGUGAAAACCGGCUCACCAACUAACUCACAUUGGUGGUAUGAGGUUAAAUAUAUGUCUUUUUUAAGGGAAGGAACCACUAAAAAAUGGUACACGCAUCUAUAAACAUUUUGUUUCCAUUUGCAGCAUAAAAUGUACAUUCAUUCACCAAUCUUCUGAUGCUCAGCAGUGUCUUCCAUAAUACAUUACAUGUGACUUUCAAUUUCUGCUUUUUAAAGUAAAGAACAUAGAGAUAUUAGCAAAGCAAUAGGAGUUGCGCAUCCUUCUAGAUUUUUAAAUAAUGUUUCCCGGGCUUUCACAUGUCAUCAGCCACAACUCAGUAUCACCUGUUAGCUACAUUAUUCACCUCCACCUUCACAGUUUUGUUUUCAGUAUUUUCAUAUUAAUUUGAUCACUUUUCAUUUUGUUUCAAUACAUUUAUAACCACACUAAAACGCACAACUGGUAUAAUUAGGUUGAGAACAAACACAGCUGAUUGUUGCUGAAAUACAACUCAACCCCUCAAAUAUCAGGCAGAAGUUUCUGGGAUACUGUGGCCACCUGCCUGUUCAGUGGGCUGUGGUCAUUGUCAUUUGCAGGACAAUGACAAAAACAUCAGUAAACCAUCCACGCAGCUGGAAGAGUAUCUACUGUGGAGACCCUGAGAGCAGUAGAGAGCCCUUGGAAAUGAAAUCAAAGCUUUCUCUGGGCAGCUGGGCUAUAGGCUGAGGUCAAUGACAGACGCCAAGAGAAGCAGGCGACAGCCCUGUCCUUAGCCCGCUGUGUCUGCAUUACUGGAUUCCUCCCCUGCGCUGUCUUAAUGGAGCUCACCCUUCUCCAACAGCACUGCCCUAUUCCUCAUCAAAAGAACUGCUGAGAAUCUUCUCCCCUGGGAAGGUCCCACACACUAAGUAGGGAAUUAUGCGGCUACUUUGCCCAGUUCUCACUACAACGUUGGCGAUGUUUCCAUUCAUUAUUUUACUUUACAGAUAAGGAAACCGAGGCUUAGGGAGGGCAUGUGAUUUGCCCAAUAUCCAACUAUUGGGAGAUUUUUAAAAAAGGGGGCGAGGGGCUGUUCCCACUGCCAUUUCUGCUACUCCACAGUGAAAAGACCACAUCUCAGAGAAAGGUUUUUAUAUGAGCACAGAAAGAAAAGGGCAUAGGUUGCACCUGCUCCAAACAUAUGGAAGCUGUGAACAACUACCAGAUUAUUGUGGAAUGAAGCAUCUGCCUACAAAGCACAGGCUCACGGUGGUGGUGCUAGUGUUAACUUGCUGAUAUCCUUGGUGUCUGGAGUCAGCUUAAAUAGAAAGGGGUAGGGAUCUGUGAAUGGGUGCUCCCCACCCCAGACUGUGCAGGGAGAAGCAAGGCAUAGAGAGGCAGACUGGAAAUCAUCUCCAGAGACCUGGUGCCAGGAAGGCCAGUGAGUGAGCUGAGUGGAUCUGCACGGAGCAAAGAGGCCACAGGAUACCUCUGUGCAGAGGUGGUAGGACAGACCAGAGAAACUCAGGAGCAGAUGGCCAGCAGGGCCAGGGAGACAACCAGGCUGCUAGAAAGCAUGUUAAACAUACCUCAUACCCCAGUAGAUCUAAAGCAGCAGUCUCCAGACUUUGGGCACCAGGGACCAGUUUUGUGGAAUACAGUUUUUCACAGAUUCUGUAGAGGUGAGUUGGGAUGGUCUGAAGAUAAUUCAAAGAAGCAUGCAUCCAAGAUUCCUCACAUGCAUGCUUCACAGUAAGAUUCAUGCUCCCGUGAGAAUUUAAUACUGCCGCUUGUCAGACAGGAAGUGGAGCUCAGUCUUUAAAUACACAUGAAGACUUUUGCGUUUACCCCUGCUCAUCUCUUGCUGUGUGACCCUCUUCCUAGAAGGCCACAGACUGGUACAUGUCCAUGACCUGGGGAUUGGAGACCCCUGAUCUAGAGCAUUCAGAUUGGGUCUCAGAGUUUUGUUAGAAAUUGCCCAUGCGGACCUCCUGGGAUAGCUUGUCAACUUCUCAUCUGGAACACUUGUGAAGCACUACUGUGUGCUGUAAUAUGGCACCGAGGAUUCUGCCCCAAGUGGACAGGAGUCAUCAUCCUGAAGGAAUUCAUACUCCAUUGGAGGGCUAAGGGACCACCAGGCUCCAUCACUCAGUACUUGGGUCUUAUCUGCAGGAGGAACAGAACGCAUCAUGGGAACAUUUACUCGAGAGUUAAGAAAAGGAGGCUUUCUGGAAGAAGGGAAUUGGUGCUGAGUCCUAAAAAAUGAGUGGCACAUGCCAUUUUUCUAUUUAACUUAAUUUUUUAUUUUUAUAUGUUUGUGAUACAUAAUAAUUACAUGCAAUGAUUUUGGAGAACACGUAUACAUGUCAUAUCUUGAGCAAUUGUGAUCCCUCCCUCCUCAACCUUCCUUUCUUCCCCUUGACCCCGGAUCUCCCUUCCCACCUCCAUAAAGUCUACCUCCCUGCUUCCCACCAUCUCUCCUUUAUUUUGCUCUUUAGAUUAUUUAUGUUUUGGGUUUCUUGCAAAGAUACACCAUCUCAUACUUAAUCCUGUGUCUAUCGUUCAUUUCACUUAACACGGUGGUAACAAGAUUCACCCAUUUUUCUACAAAGAACUCGAAGUUGCUUUCCUUUAUGGCUGAAUGAUACUCCUUUUGUAUGCACACCACAUUUUCCUUACCUGUUUUCUUGGUCCAUUCCAUUGAUGAGCAUGUAGACUGUUCCCAGAGUUUAGCUAUUGUGAGCUGUGCUACUGAAAACACGAAUCCUUGGAUAUAAGUGCAUUAUGACUUGUACCUGUAGCUUGUGUUAUAAUAUGUGUUGUGGCUUAUGUUCCCCCAAAUCUUCAUGUGCUUAUCAUAGGUGGGGCUUUUCAAGGUUGUUGGAUCUAAGUAUGUGAUGCUGGGAUCCGCAGUGUGUGAUUAGUAAAUUCACCCACUGACUGGUUUGGCUUAAUUCUGGGAGUGGAUAACACAAAGGCCCUCCCUGAGUGUGAAUGCUGCUUGCCUUAAGGUCGGAGAGUCUAGAAAGAGGCCUGCUGGGUCUCUUGCCGCUUGCUGCUGCUGCCUGCCUUCUGCUGCCUCCUGUUUGCUCGGCAAAGCCCCUCUGCCGUGCCACCCUUCCUUGGACCCAGCUGAUUAUGGACUGAAACCUCUACAAACUGUGAGCCAAAAUAAACCUUUCCUCCUUUAA